AGUGAACGCUGGCGGUAGGCCUAACACAUGCAAGUCGAACGGCAGCACAGUAAGAGCUUGCUCUUACGGGUGGCGAGUGGCGGACGGGUGAGGAAUACAUCGGAAUCUACUUUUUCGUGGGGGAUAACGUAGGGAAACUUACGCUAAUACCGCAUACGACCUACGGGUGAAAGCAGGGGAUCUUCGUACCUUGCGCGAUUGAAUGAGCCGAUGUCGGAUUAGCUAGUUGGCGGGGUAAAGGCCCACCAAGGCGACGAUCCGUAGCUGGUCUGAGAGGAUGAUCAGCCACACUGGAACUGAGACACGGUCCAGACUCCUACGGGAGGAAGCAGUGGGGAAUAUUGGACAAUGGGCGCAAGCCUGAUCCAGCCAUACCGCGUGGGUGAAGAAGGCCUUCGGGUUGUAAAGCCCUUUUGUUGGGAAAGAAAAGCAGCAGGUUAAUACCCCGCUGUUCUGACGGUACCCAAAGAAUAAGCACCGGCUAACUUCGUG
rnacentral:rRNA from 1 species